rnacentral:rRNA from 1 species
UACGUAGGGUGCAAGCGUUGUCCGGAAUUAUUGGGCGUAAAGAGCUCGUAGCGGUUUGUCGCGUCUGCUGUGAAAACUCAGGGCUUAACUCUGAGCUUGCAGUGGGUACGGGCAGACUAGAGUGCGGUAGGGGAGGCUGGAAUUCCUGGUGUAGCGGUGAAAUGCGCAGAUAUCAGGAGGAACACCGGUGGCGAAGGCGGGGUCUCUGGGCCCGUAACUGACGCUGGAGGCGCGAAAGCGUGGGGAGCGAACAGG